rnacentral:lncRNA from 1 species
ACAGCGUGGGAGAGACAGAGAGGGAGGGAGACCCAGAGACAGGGAGGGAGAGACCAAGAGACAGGGAGUGAGAGCCAGAGCCAGGGAGGGAGACCCAGACACAGUAAGGGAGAGGAGAGACCGAGAGACAGGGCGAGAGAGCCAGGGAGGGAUAGACAGAGACAGGGAUGGAGACACACAGGGAGGGACAGGUGGAGACGGGUGGGGAGAGACAGGGAGGGACAGACCGAGGCAGGGAAGGAGAGACAGAAGUGGAGGAAUGGACAGAGACAGGGAGGGACUGAGCCGGGGGCGCAAGGCCUCGGACCCCUGCGCCCCGGGGCCCCGACCAGACUAGCGGGCGGAGGCAGAGGCGGUCUCGGGUCCCCUCUAGGCUCCGCGGGGGGCGGGCCUCCGUGGGGGGGGGCGGGGGGGCGGCCGGAGCUUGACCCGGGCUGCCCCCAGCUGACCCGAAGGGGGCCCGGGCGUGGCCGCGGGGGGAGCUGGGCGCAGAGGCGGCGACCCCGACCCGACCCGACCCGCCCGCCGCGGCCGUGGCAGGAGGUUGCGCGGCUCCAGGCCCGCGGUUCCCGGCGCUGCGAGCUCCGGCCACGGGCGCGCAGGUCGGCGUGGGCCCCGGGAGGCGUGAGGGGCCCCGGGGUGGCUGUGCGAGAGGCAUCUGGCCCUCGCGUGUGGGCGGCGGGUGCCCGGGAGGGACCGCGCGGGGGACAGCGGGCCUCGGGGGCCGCACGGAGGCACCCCGUGGCGAGCCGGGCCGACACCCACACCCUUUGGGCCGCCAGGGUGCGGGGCAGAGGGCUGCGCGGGGGGGGGGGGGGGGGGGGGGGGGAGGAGGGGCGGGACCUGUUGGCGGAGGGGGUGGCGGCGGGGCCUCCUCCAGGUCAGGCGGGGCCUCCUCCAGGUCAGGCCGGGCCUCCUCCAGGCGGCUCAGGGAGGGUGCGGGGCCCCUGCCCGGGGCCCAGGGAGGGUGCCGCGGAGACCCUGCGCGCGCGCUCAGAGGGGUUAGGGUGCAGGCACCGGUGGCUUGAGGGCCUGGGCUGCUGGGCCCCAGGAGCCCCCCCAAGGCCCUGGCUCUUCCUCCGCCCCCCGCCACCCUCCCCACUCCCCGCUCUCAGGUCCCUCCCUAAGUGCCCCAGCCUGGCCAGGGAGCCCGCCCCCCGCCCUGGUCCUAUCAGGUGA